GUGAAAUCGGUAGACACGCUGCUCAGUGCUAGAGCAUCUCGGUUCGAGUCCGAGUAGCGGCA
rnacentral:tRNA from 1 species